rnacentral:rRNA from 1 species
GACGAACGCUGGCGGCGUGCUUAACACACGCAAGUCGAACGGUGACGAGGGGCUUGCUCCUCUGAUCAGUGGCGAACGGGUGAGUAACACGUGAGUAACCUGCCCUUCACUCUGGGAUAACUCCGGGAAACCGGGGCUAAUACUGGAUAUGACCUACUCGGGCAUCCGAUGUGGGUGGAAAGAUUUAUUGGUGGGGGAUGGACUCGCGGCCUAUCAGCUUGUUGGUGAGGUAAUGGCUUACCAAGGCGACGACGGGUAGCCGGCCUGAGAGGGCGAUCGGCCACACUGGGACUGAGACACGGCCCAGACUCCUACGGGAGGCAGCAGUGGGGAAUAUUGCACAAUGGGCGAAAGCCUGAUGCAGCGACGCCGCGUGAGGGAUGAAGGCCUUCGGGUUGUAAACCUCUUUCAGCAGGGAAGAAGCGCAAGUGACGGUACCUGCAGAAGAAGCACCGGCUAACUACGUGCCAGCAGCCGCGGUAAUACGUAGGGUGCGAGCGUUGUCCGGAAUUAUUGGGCGUAAAGAGCUUGUAGGCGGUUUGUCGCGUCUGCUGUGAAAUUUCGGGGCUCAACCCCGAACUUGCAGUGGGUACGGGCAGACUAGAGUGUGGUAGGGGAGACUGGAAUUCCUGGUGUAGCGGUGAAAUGCGCAGAUAUCAGGAGGAACACCGAUGGCGAAGGCAGGUCUCUGGGCCACUACUGACGCUGAGAAGCGAAAGCAUG